AUUUAAAUAGUUUAAUAAAAAUAAAGAAUUGUGGUUUCUUUGAUAUCUUUGAUUUUAAGUU
rnacentral:tRNA from 1 species